rnacentral:lncRNA from 1 species
AAGAAAAAUAAACACAAACACAAGUAACAUAUUAUAUUGGUAAGUCCAACCGUGUAAUCUAUCUUUUUAAAGUUUUACUAUUUAUAUUAUGUUAAUGAUGGAGGUUCAUUCACGUUAUUUAAUGUUGUUUGAAUGAUAAUUUCUUUUAUAACAUAAUCAAUUUAGAUAAAUAUUUAAUUGAUUUAGAAAAAAUUAGUUAGCAUCAUUAGUGAUGUAUCUAAUUAAAUCUUAAAUGUUAAUGACUCAUGUAUUGUGAAUCUCAAUGUUACAUAUUUACUAAAAUCUUGAUUGGGUUAAUGUUGCUUCGAUUUUCCUUGAGAGUCUCUUAUCAAGCUUAUUUUUAGAAUAUUAUAUUAGUGGGAUAGUAGGUACCUAAGUUUAGGUGAGAGACUUUUUUUCUCAUAAACUAUGUGUUCACCUGGAUCCUUAUAUUAUAUAUGUCUUUCAUGAUAUCGCUUAGAGUUUACAAGAUGAUAAUUAGAAUAUAGAUGAGGUUUCCUUGCAGUGGUGUUAAAGGGAUUUUCAAACUUUUUCAAAUUUGGUUGUUUGAAAUAUGUUCUUAUCUUAAAUUGCAAAAAAACUUAGUUUUGUCUAGUCCCAUAACUUUCUUUCUUAAUCGCAAAUGGUUAAAAACCGUUCAACCUUCUUCCCAAAGUGUAAAUCAGAAACAAUAUAUGUUAUUCAAAAUCAUUAAAACAUGUCUUCGUCUUUUCCACCUUCUGCCCCAAUCAAAUUGAACCAUUCAAUCGUUUCUUCCUCUCUUUGUCUUUUCCUGAAACAAUAAGGUAUGAUUUUAUUUUUCAUAUUCCAUUUAAUCAAAUGUCUAUUGGUACAAACUUUGUUAUGAUACAAAAAAAAUUAUAUAUGUUUUUGAUACAAACUCUUUUUUAUAUGUUUCUGAUACAAACUCUUUUUUAUAUGUUUCUUACUUAUUGUGAUGAUUUAUGUUAUUUAUAAUAUUUGGUAGACAUGGAAAGUAUUACUGAUGGUGUUAUUUCUCCUCAAAUUCAAAUGUCAGAUGCUCGAAAUCAAUAAGAAAUUGAAGUUGUUUCUUGUGCAAACAUGAGUUAAAGUUGUUGAUUUAGCCCGUGAACAAGGGCUUGAAACUCCAUCACCAUCACUAACCAAGGUAAAGAAAAUAAGACCUUAUAGACCUCCUUAUAUUGCUUGGAGUCAUUUUACAAAGAAGAAAGUUAUGUAUUUUGUAACUAAUGUUUCAC